GUUAAGGGGUCGAUGGACUUCAUGGGAAUAAAUCAGUAUACAACUUAUUACAUGUAUACUCCGGGCUAGCAGCAGGAAUGGCGUGAUGGAUUUAAUUUAAAAAUGGUGUCCCAAUCGGUCCUAAGGAAAACUCUUACUGGCUUUAUGAGGUACCAUGAGGUCUAUACAAGGGGAUAAACUUCAUCAAGGAGCGUAAUGACAAUCCCCCGUAUGGUCAUUCUGUCUGAGAAUGUGUCACAGGUUUCCAGAGAUCUCUCCUAUAGUCUAACAUUCCAGCUUCGGGUCUGUCCUCGACGAAGAAAUGACAACCAAAUGUGGAAAUUAACCACUGGUUUUGAGCAACCAGAGAAUACAAGGAGAAGAAACUAACUCUUUUGUGUUAAUUAGUUUUUGUAUAAUAGCUACUAAAUCCCAGUGUAAUGUUUUGGUAGCUUUUAGUUAUAGGUUGUAGUCAUGUUUUUAAGUUCUAUGUAAAUUUAAGCCUAUGUCAAAAAAAAAAAAAAAAAAACCCUUCUAGAGGAAUUGCAUGAUGCGAAAGAGUUCACUAAUAUACAUGAAAAUUAUUAGGUGCACUGAAAAAGACCAUCAAUCAAAGGGGAGAAAAUGUUGUUGGCUACUUUGCGUGGUCAUUGGUCGACAAUUCCGAAUGGAGAUUGGGAUAUACUUCACGAUUUAGUGUAGUGUAUGUUGAAUACAAAGACCUUAAGAGGUAUCCAAAGAUGUCUGCUUAUUGGUUCAAAAACAUGCUUCAUAGAGGUUAGAAUCGCUCAAUCGAGGAUCAUACAUGAUACCCUCUGUUAGUACUUAAGUACUUAUGCUUUGUAAUGAAUUUGAUGAUAUUUGAAAUUUACAAUGUUUUUAAGUUUAAUAAAGAUGUUCUUUAGAC